rnacentral:rRNA from 1 species
CUUGAAGAUCGGAGUGCUUGCACUCUGUGAAACAAGAUACAGGCUAGCGGCGGACGGGUGAGUAACACGUGGGUAACCUGCCCAAGAGAUCGGGAUAACACCUGGAAACAGAUGCUAAUACCGGAUAACAACAGAUGAUGCCUAUCAACUGUUUAAAAGAUGGUUCUGCUAUCACUCUUGGAUGGACCUGCGGUGCAUUAGCUAGUUGGUAGGGUAACGGCCUACCAGGGCGAUGAUGCAUAGCCGAGUUGAGAGACUGAUCGGCCACAUUGGGACUGAGACACGGCCCAAACUCCUACGGGAGGCAGCAGUAGGGAAUCUUCCACAAUGGACGCAAGUCUGAUGGAGCAACGCCGCGUGAGUGAAGAAGGGUUUCGGCUCGUAAAGCUCUGUUGUUGGUGAAGAAGGACAGGGGUAGUAACUGACCUUUGUUUGACGGUAAUCAAUUAGAAAGUCACGGCUAACUACGUGCCAGCAGCCGCGGUAAUACGUAGGUGGCAAGCGUUGUCCGGAUUUAUUGGGCGUAAAGCGAGUGCAGGCGGCUCGAUAAGUCUGAUGUGAAAGCCUUCGGCUCAACCGGAGAAUUGCAUCAGAAACUGUCGAGCUUGAGUACAGAAGAGGAGAGUGGAACUCCAUGUGUAGCGGUGAAAUGCGUAGAUAUAUGGAAGAACACCGGUGGCGAAGGCGGCUCUCUGGUCUGUUACUGACGCUGAGGCUCGAAAGCAUGGGUAGCGAACAGGANNNGAUACCCUGGUAGUCCAUGCCG